GGCGGCACAUUUCAAUGAUUCUUCAAGUGAUACUAUAUAUAUUUCUCACUUUUAUCGGCAACUUUCUCUGCCAUACGUUCGUUGCUUCGUUUGUUUUUGGUUGGGUGUUCCCCCAAAAGCCCAGGGAUACCCUGCUAAAACCAAACGAGGUGUUUUAUUGGGCUUGAACGUAUGCCAGAGAAAGUUCUUUCCCACAUUUUAAGCAAAGGAAUCUCUGUACUGUAACAAAUUUUGUCAUAGCUAAAACCUGUACUUAUCGAAAUGCAAAAUGUUUCUCUUGGUUGGUAAUCAUACAAAUCUGUAUUAUUACCAGCUAAAGAUUGAACAUUUAAACAAUUCCGAAUACGCCAUGACAAAAGCGUUGGCUUGUUUCGACAUUUGGACAUUCUUUCUACAAGAAAUGUCAGCAAAUUGUCUGCCAAGACAAACCAAACAUUUGUUUCGUUCUAGGAUUCUUUUACUGAAUUAUUUAUACAUAUAUUUAUAUCCUAAGUUUCCAUUUGAAUAUCACUUCAAGUUGCAUUGAAAUCUGCUUAGCU
rfam:Drosophila pseudoobscura pseudoobscura strain MV2-25 chromosome 2, whole genome shotgun sequence.